rnacentral:misc_RNA from 1 species
UCAAGAUGUAGAUGGCUUGCCAACUGAAGGUGUAGAGAUUGCAUGCUUCCAUCUGGAUGGUGCUCAUUACAUGAUUUAUACACCAUCUGACCCACUUCUCUUUGUUGCUGUCAAGGAUCAAAAUGGACAAUUGCAAAUUGCUGAUGAUGAUCUCUUGGACGAUCCUGCUAUAAUAAGUGCGAUAGAUGAGGAGACCGAAUUUAAUGCCCUGGUGGAGGAAGAGGCAGCUCUUCUAGAAUCAU